rnacentral:lncRNA from 1 species
GGUUUAUCAGGGGUUUCUGCUUUUGCUUCUUCCUCAUUCUCCCUUGCUGCUGCCACAUAAGAAGUGCCUUUCACCCUCUGCCAUGAAUAUGAGACCUCCCCAACCAUGUGGAACUACAGAGUCUCACUCUGUCUCCCACACUAGAGUACAGGGGCACAAUCUCGGCUCACUGCAACUUCUGCCUCCUGGGUUCCAUUGAUUCUCCCGCCUCAGCCUCCCGGAUAGCUGGGAUUACAGGCGUGCGCCACCACACCUGGCCCUACAGUUUCAAGAUGAUGGGAUGACAGCAUUUCUACCUUACUCUCUGCCUGAACCAAAAUGAGGUGGCAAAGUCACAGGAACAGAAGUCCUGCUUUUGGUGAGACUACAAGACACCUGGAACCUGAAUCACAGUGUAGAAGAACGUCAGCAGACAGUGGACGCAAACAUGACCCCACAGAGCGGACAGUCUGGAGCAGCCAGUGGAUCCCUCCACAUGACCUGUGUGAAAGGAAAGGAAAAUCUCGAGACCAAACUCACCAUGCCAAAGGGAACUGAGUCAUGCAAUGCCUGCCUGCCUUCUGUUUCCAGACAGCUGUGAUCCCCAUGCCUGCGUUAUCGCAUGUCAAAUGUAGACCUACUGAGCGUGAGACAGAUGCAUGACUGGCUUUCCCCUAACUCUGUUCUUUUUUUUUUUUUUUUUUUGAGAUGGAGUCUCACUCUGUCAUCUAGGCUGGAGUGCAGUGGGGCGAUCUUGGCUCAUUGCAACCUCCGCCUCCUGGGUUCAAACGAGCCUCCUGCCUCAGCCUCCCGAGUAGCUGGGAUUACCGGCGCAUGCCACCAUGCCUGGCUAAUUUUUUUGGUAUUUUUAGUAGAGAUGGGGUUUCGGCAUAUUGGCCAGGCUGGUCUCAAACUCCUGGCCUCAAGUGAUGUGCCCAUCUCAGCCUCCCAAAGUGUUGGGAUUACAGGCAUGAGCCACCAUGCCCGGCCGGCUCCAUUCUUUACACAGGUGAAAUGUAGAUUCUCUGAGUGCUAAUCAGAGCCUCAUGAGAAUGUGGCCUCUCACCUGUUUGCCUACCCUCUUUGUUUCCCUUUUCUCCUUUCUCUUGAAACACUGAAGUCCUUAAAACCCUCUUUGGUAAAAGCACAGGACACAGAUUCUAUUGUGCCUUGAGUUUCUUUUUCCCGGGCACAUGCUCAACCUCAGCAAAAUAAAUCUCUCAGCCGAUUGGGAUCUGCCUGUCACUUUUUGUUUUGUUUUUCGAUAGGUCAUUUUAAGGACUUUAUUAGUCGCUGUUUGGUUUACAUCCAAUAAGGACAAGGGAACAACCACAGGUGCUGACCCAGGGCACGGUUGGGGCCACGCAGGACUGGUUAACGGGUAAGGACUACUUAGACCCCCAGUUCCUAGCCCCUACAGUUAGGCAGUCACUCUUUCCCAUCCAUUUACGGGUUUAGAGUUUUAAUUUAUAACAGUGGAACUGGAGAGAUUCCAGUUUGGGAACCAGGCUGACGGAAGGACAGAUGUUGAAGCAGGAUGUUUCCCUGACCUCUUUGCCCGCGGGAACUGAAGUGCGUGGGCACCAGCAGGGGCCAACUCCACUCACUUCCUGCUCCACCCCUCGUGGGAGCACAGGUGCACAUGUGCAGGAGUCGGGGUGGGUGCUUUGGGUGCGGCAAGAGCGAACUCCAUACCAGCCCUCCCGGCAGUGUCUAAAGGAGGAUGCCUGCAACCCCUGAAGCCCCAGAGGAAGUGUUACAGUGCCCUUUUAGCUUUGCCAUCCAUGGCUUAAGUGUUAACAGCUCAGCAGAGGGUCAGUGUGACAGCCUUUUGCACCCACACUUGUAGCACUUGAGUUCUUGUCUGGCGCCCAGGAGGAAUGAGGUUGCAUGAAUGACUUGAAGGUGGUAAAUGCAGGACAUUUUGUUGCUGAUGAAAGUGGCUCUCAGUGGUAAGGGGAGCUGAAAAGGGGACGAAGUGGGAAGGUAAUCUCUCUGAAGCUAUGCCAUCAAGUUGUUCCCCUGAACUCAAGCCACUUCUCUCCAACAUCCAGCUGCUUCUCCUCUCCCUGCCAGCUUAACCAGGGGUUUUUAAUGGGCACAGGACCACUGGUGAGGCGGGCCAUGGGUGGUUUUGGAAAAGGCGACAUUGGAGCUGGAAAACACAGAUGUAUGUUCUCACUUUGGGCCACAGUACGAGGUUUUGAGGCUUGAGGGUGGGGCCCUCACUGGAGACCUGCCCUCCUCUGCCCAGAACGUCCCUGCCUCCUGUCCUUAUCAAUAUUUGAUGUGUAGAAGACCAGUGCUAGAGGGAAGCAGGGCAGUAGCACAGGAAAGCACAUACUUACCUGUCUGGGCAGCUGAGUCAUCAUACCCAUCCUGAAGCCCACUCAUUUCUUGGACAAUCUAGUGCGAGGUCUCACUCUGUCACCCAGGCCAGAGUGCUGUGGCGCAAUCUCGGCUCACUGCAACCUCCGCCUCCCAGGCUCAAGUGAUUCUUGUGCCUCAGCCUCCCAAGUAGCUGGGACCAGCUAAUCUUUGUAUUUUUAGUAGAGACGGGGUUUCGCCAUGUUGGCCAGGCUGGUCUCAAACUCCUGGGCUGAAGUGAUCUGCCUGCCUCAGCCUCCCAAAGUGCUGG